GACGAACGCUGGCGGCGUGCUUAACACAUGCAAGUCGAACGCUGAAGCUCAGCUUUUGUUGGGUGGAUGAGUGGCGAACGGGUGAGUAACACGUGAGUAACCUGCCCCCUUCUUUGGGAUAACGCCCGGAAACGGGUGCUAAUACUGGAUAUUCACUGGUCUUCGCAUGGGGGUUGGUGGAAAGGGUUUUUCUGGUGGGGGAUGGGCUCGCGGCCUAUCAGCUUGUUGGGGGGGUGAUGGCCUACCAAGGCUUUGACGGGUAGCCGGCCUGAGAGGGGGACCGGUCACAUUGGGACUGAGCUACGGCCCAGACUCCUACGGGAGGCAGCAGUGGGGAAUAUUGCACAAUGGGCGCAAGCCUGAUGCAGCGACGCCGCGUGAGGGAUGGAGGCCUUCGGGUUGUGAACCUCUUUCGCUCAUGGUCAAGCCGCAACAAUGGUUGUGGUGAGGGUAGUGGGUAAAGAAGCGCCGGCUAACUACGUG
rnacentral:rRNA from 1 species